AUGGCGAUGCAACAGACCAGGGACCCCACCUCCAAGCUCCCCUCCGCCUCCCCCUUCGCCGGCACCAGCCCUCCCCCAUACUACCACCACCACUACGGCACCUUCUCCCCUCCUGCUCCGCCGCCGCCCGUCGCUGCAGUCGCCUACGACCCCUCCCUGAAAGGACGCAGUGCUCAGGGCGUUGUUGCUUUCCCGUGCACUAUCCAGCAGCAGGUCUUCGUGGAGGGCCUCCCAGUCCGGGAGCCGCGGCUGCCGUUCUGCGGCGUCGGCGUCGGCUGGGCUUUGUUCUUACUAGGGUUCUUCUUGGCUGCAAUUCCCUGGUAUAUUGGUGCUUUUCUUCUAUUCUUUGUUGCUUUGGAUCACCGGGAGAAGCCUGGAUUGAUUGUCUGCACAGUUGCUUUUGUGUCGAAUGGUACAUCUACAAUGGCAUGUCGCAAUAGAAAGUUUGCCUCUCUCGACCUGAAUGUUACACGGAGAGUUGUGCCAAAGAAAUUAGGUCAGUUGAACUGUUGA
rnacentral:rRNA from 1 species